rnacentral:rRNA from 1 species
UACGUAGGGACCAAGCGUUGUUCGGAUUUACGUGGCGUAAAGGGCGCGUAGGCGGGCAUAUUAAGUCAGAUCUGUGAAAAUCUCCGAGCUUUAACUCGGAACUGUCAGCUGAUACUGAUGUGCUAGAGUGCAGAAGGGGCAAUCGGAAUUCUUGGAUGUAGCGGUGAAAUGCGUAGAUAUCAAGAGGAACACCUGAGGUGAAGACGGGUUGCUGGGCUGACACUGACGGCUGAUAAGCGGCGAAAGCCCAGGGGAGCAAAACGGG